rnacentral:rRNA from 1 species
GGAAUAAUUUCUGGAAACGGAAACUAAAACCGGAUAGGUAAUAGAGAAGCAUUUCUGUAUUAUUAAAGAAGCCUCAAAGCUUUGAACAUGGAUGGACCUGCGGUGCAUUAGCUAGUUGGUAAGGUAACGGCCUACCAAGGCGACGAUGCAUAGCCGACCUGAGAGGGCGAACAGCCACAUUGGGACUGAGACACGGCCCAAACUCCUACGGGAGGCAGCAGUAGGGAAUUUUCGUCAAUGGGGGGAACCCUGAACGAGCAAUGCCGCGUGAGUGAAGACGGUCUUCGGAUUGUAAAGCUCUGUUGUGAGAGGAAAAGGAUAUAUAUAGGAAAUGAUAUGUAUUUGAUGGUAUCUCACCAGAAAGUCACGGCUAACUACGUGCCAGCAGCCGCGGUAAUACGUAGGUGGCGAGCGUUAUCCGGAAUGAUUGGGCGUAAAGGGUACGUAGGCGGCAUGAUAAGUCUGGAGUGAAAGGCUACAGCUCAACUGUAGUAUGCUCUGGAAACUGUCAAGCUAGAGUGCAGAAGAGGGCAAUGGAACUCCAUGUGUAGCGGUAAAAUGCGUAGAUAUAUGGAAGAACACCGGUGGCGAAGGCGGUUGCCUGGUCUGAAACUGACGCUGAAGUACGAAAGCGUGGGGAGCAAAUAGGAUUAGAUACCCUAGUAGUCCACGCCGUAA